rnacentral:rRNA from 1 species
UACGAAGGGGGACUAGCGUUGUUCGGAAUUACUGGGCGUAAAGCGCACGUAGGCGGAUUUGCUAGUCAGGGGUGAAAUCCCGAGGCUCAACCUCGGAACUGCCUUUGAUACUGCAAAUCUCGAGUCCGGAAGAGGUGAGUGGAAUUCCUAGUGUAGAGGUGAAAUUCGUAGAUAUUAGGAAGAACACCAGUGGCGAAGGCGGCUCACUGGUCCGGUACUGACGCUGAGGUGCGAAAGCGUGGGGAGCAAACAGG